AAAGUACUCCCUCCGUUCAGAAAUACUUGUCCUAAAAAUGGAUAUAAUGGAUGUAUCUAUAACUAAAAUAAGUCUAAAUACAUUCAUCUUUAGGACAAGUAUUUUAGGACGGAGGUGAUAUAUG
rfam:Hordeum vulgare subsp. vulgare, WGS project CAJW01000000 data, contig: morex_contig_1578275